UACGUAGGGCGCAAGCGUUGUCCGGAAUUAUUGGGCGUAAAGAGCUCGUAGGCGGCCAGUUGCGUCCGCUGUGAAAUCCCGGGGCUUAACCCCGGGCGUGCAGUGGAUACGGGCUGGCUAGAGGCAGGCAGGGGAGAACGGAAUUCCCGGUGUAGCGGUGAAAUGCGCAGAUAUCGGGAGGAACACCGGUGGCGAAGGCGGCCAGCUGGGCCAGGUCCGACACUGAGGCGCGAAAGCGUGGGGAGCAAACAGG
rnacentral:rRNA from 1 species